UUUGAAAUCCAAUAAAUGUCUAAC
rnacentral:snRNA from 1 species